GACGAACCCUUUAGGGGUGCUUACACAUGCAAGUCGAACGGAAAGGCCCUGCUUUUGUGGGGUGCUCGAGUGGCGAACGGGUGAGUAACACGUGAGUAACCUGCCCUUGACUUUGGGAUAACUUCAGGAAACUGGGGCUAAUACCGGAUAGGAGCUCCUGCUGCAUGGUGGGGGUUGGAAAGUUUCGGCGGUUGGGGAUGGACUCGCGGCUUAUCAGCUUGUUGGUGGGGUAGUGGCUUACCAAGGCUUUGACGGGUAGCCGGCCUGAGAGGGUGACCGGCCACAUUGGGACUGAGAUACGGCCCAGACUCCUACGGGAGGCAGCAGUGGGGAAUAUUGCACAAUGGGCGGAAGCCUGAUGCAGCAACGCCGCGUGCGGGAUGACGGCCUUCGGGUUGUAAACCGCUUUCGCCUGUGACGAAGCGUGAGUGACGGUAAUGGGUAAAGAAGCACCGGCUAACUACGUGCCAGCAGCCGCGGUGAUACGUAGGGUGCGAGCGUUGUCCGGAUUUAUUGGGCGUAAAGGGCUCGUAGGUGGUCGAUCGCGUCGGAAGUGUAAUCUUGGGGCUUAACCCUGAGCGUGCUUUCGAUACGGGUUGACUUGAGGAAGGUAGGGGAGAAUGGAAUUCCUGGUGGAGCGGUGGAAUGCGCAGAUAUCAGGAGGAACACCAGUGGCGAAGGCGGUUCUCUGGGCCUUUCCUGACGCUGAGGAGCGAAAGCGUGGGGAGCGAACAGGCUUAGAUACCCUGGUAGUCCACGCUGUAAACGGUGGGUACUAGGUGUGGGGUCCAUUCCACGGGUUCCGUGCCGUAGCUAACGCUUUAAGUACCCCGCCUGGGGAGUACGGCCGCAAGGCUAAAACUCAAAGGAAUUGACGGGGCCCCGCACAAGCGGCGGAGCAUGCGGAUUAAUUCGAUGCAACGCGUAGAACCUUACCUGGGUUUGACAUGGAUCGGGAGUGCUCAGAGAUGGGUGUGCCUCUUUUGGGGUCGGUUCACAGGUGGUGCAUGGCUGUCGUCAGCUCGUGUCGUGAGAUGUUGGGUUAAGUCCCGCAACGAGCGCAACCCUUGUUCACUGUUGCCAGCACGUUAUGGUGGGGACUCAGUGGAGACCGCCGGGGUCAACUCGGAGGAAGGUGGGGAUGACGUCAAGUCAUCAUGCCCCUUAUGUCCAGGGCUUCACGCAUGCUACAAUGGCUGGUACAGAGAGUGGCGAGCCUGUGAGGGUGAGCGAAUCUCGGAAAGCCGGUCUCAGUUCGGAUUGGGGUCUGCAACUCGACCUCAUGAAGUCGGAGUCGCUAGUAAUCGCAGAUCAGCAACGCUGCGGUGAAUACGUUCCCGGGGCUUGUACACACCGCCCGUCAAGUCAUGAAAGUUGGUAACACCCGAAGCCGGUGGCCUAACCGUUGUGGGGGAGCCGUCGAAGGUGGGACUGGUGAUUAGGACUAAAU
rnacentral:rRNA from 1 species